rnacentral:rRNA from 1 species
UACGUAGGGUGCAAGCGUUAAUCGGAAUCACUGGGCGUAAAGCGCACGUAGGCGGACUCUUAAGUCGGUGGUGAAAUCCUGGAGCUCAACUCCAGAACUGCCUUCGAUACUGGGAGUCUUGAGUCCGGGAGAGGUGAGUGGAACUGCGAGUGUAGAGGUGAAAUUCGUAGAUAUUCGCAAGAACACCAGUGGCGAAGGCGGCUCACUGGCCCGGUACUGACGCUGAGGUGCGAAAGCGUGGGGAGCGAACAGG